AUACUAGAAAAAUGUCACCCUGCUGUAAUGAGACAGCUGACUAUCUUGAAGAGAGAUAUGAAAAAUACAUCAAGUCGUGUCCCAUUUUGGAAGGAAAAUGCAAAUGCAAUUUCCAAGAUCAAAGAGUAGAUGGUUUUGCCAACGGUGACAUGUCCAACCCAGUAUCAUGGACGAAGCCAAAUAUUUCAUGCACACAUAAAUAUCAACUUCAUCAACUCAAAGUGGUACCAAACCUAAGAUCACCACACAGCUUCUCUGAGGGUUUAAAUAAAAUCGAGUAUGUAUUUAAACUUUAUGGAGGACUGGAGAAAUCGUGUAUAAUUAUGGUCUAUAUUCACACCUGUGAUUCUAAAA